rnacentral:lncRNA from 1 species
CCAAGGCUUUCCUGACCGAGUUUCCCUGACCUUGGGCUCUCCCCUCUCCAUGAAGCUUUUGUACAAGGAUUGUUUCAGCAUGAAACAAUUGAGCCCAUUGCCUUUGCCCUGGGUCUUGUGUUUCCUGUGGAAGCCAUCUAAACUCAGUGUGCUCAGCUUUGCUUCUCCUCCCAGUACAAAGCCCUCCCAGCAAGCCGGACUGGUAUGCUCCCUGAUUCGCGUGUCCACCAGCUCCACUCCAGCGUGUACUUUCUACCUUCCUGUUAAUGCAGAGUGCCGAUCCUGUCCUUUGAACAAUCCACCUUGGGAGGUACCUUGGAUUAACUAGAGCCCAACUCUCCCUUUCUAGAUGAUGGGAAGACAUACAGAGUAAAGAACCUGCUCUGAAUUCCAUUACACAAUGAGAUGAUCUUCAGCUUCUCCAACCAACCUGAAGCCCGUGUCCUCUGGCGUCUGGUACUCAGAUAUCACGAAGCACGCCAUUGGACUAAGAUGGUGGUUUCGCAUAGUGCCAAGCACCUAACAGGCAUCACUAUAUACUUGCUGAUGUGUGAAUUCUGUUUUACUCCAGUGAUUCAGCUCUGCCAGGCCUUUGUUUCACUUACCUGCCUCCUGAAACUCUGCAAGACUUGGUAGAAAAUGAAUCAUCAAUUUGACUUGUUGUUUCUUCAAAACUUUGACUGUGACCUUGAAACUGUGGUUCUGAAAACAAGUGAAUCUUUGAAAAAGUAAACAGAAACACAUAAAAUUAUUUUCCUAAACACAUUAACUAAUUUAGCCUUUGAAAUGAUGACCUAAACAUGACCUGCUGACUUUUGUUACAGUAAACUGGUACGAAUUUUAGAAAUCCUUUAAUUUUCCAUGUCUACAUUCAUGAUCAAUUAGAAACAUGUUAGCUGCGCCAUUCGUGACUAUUUAUUUAAUUCAGAGACAUCAAAGUAAAAUGCAACAACAAAGGUAACUUUCUAUAGAACACCCUGUUGUGAAGCUGUGAGGUAUUUUAAAGCUUUAUUGUGGUCAGAAAUCAUUGUUCAUCAGUUCUGACAUUAACGACAAACAGUAUUUUGGAAAGACAUAGUGUAGUUUCCUUCCUUCUCAAUGGAAGACACUUGCUGACUUAUCGGAAUCCUGUGAAUGCCAAUAAAGGAGGCUAUAGUGGUGUUUGUUCCUCUAUAAUUAUGGCUCUGUGAACACUUCCAUUAAAAGGCCGAAAUAACAAAUGUACACCCCAGUUGAUGUUAAGAAUCAGCAUUCAGAAAGCUUGAGUGAGACCAUAAAAAAUGUCUAGUGUCGACACAGCAAAUAUGAAAAUUCAUUUUACCAUCACAAUAACUAGAUGC